rnacentral:tRNA from 1 species
CCCUGGCUAGCUCAGUUGGUAGAGUGCUCCACCAGUAAUAGAGAGGUCCUGGGUUUGAUACCCGAACCAGGCG